rnacentral:rRNA from 1 species
UACGAAGGGUGCAAGCGUUAAUCGGAAUUACUGGGCGUAAAGCGUGCGUAGGCGGUUUCUUAAGUCUGCUGUGAAAUCCCCGGGCUCAACCUGGGAAUGGCAGUGGAUACUGGGAGGCUAGAGUGUGUCAGAGGAUGGUGGAAUUCCCGGUGUAGCAGUGAAAUGCGUAGAGAUCGGGAGGAACAUCCAUGGCGAAGGCAGCUACCUGGACCAACACUGACACUGAGGCACGAAAGCGUGGGGAGCAAACAGG